rnacentral:pre_miRNA from 1 species
UCUUCAUUUCACGUGCUCUCUCACCGGUCAGAGUGACGAGAGAGUACGAGGAAUGAAGAGA